CGCUGGCGGCGUGCCUAAGGUAUUGCAAGUCGAAACGAGAAUCCCGCUUUCGGCGGGUGGACAGUGGCAGACGGCUUGAGUAACGCGUGGGAAUCAACCCUAGACACAGGGAUAGCUCAUCGAAAGGUGGGGUAAAACCUGAUAGUCCCAUACAGUUUUUACUGUAUGGGUAAAACUUCGGUGGUCUAGGACGAGCCCGCGUCCUAUCAGGUUGUUGGUGAGGUAAAUGCUCACCAAGCCUAUGACGGGUAGCUGGUUUGAGAGGACGGACAGCCAGACUGGGACUGUGACACGGCCCAGACUCCUACGGGAGGCAGCAAUUAGGAAUCGUGCGCAAUGGACGGAAGUCUGACGCCGCGACGCCGCGUGGAGGAUGAAUGCCUACGGGUUGUAAACUCCUUUUAUGAGGGAACAAGUUUCUGAGUGUACCUCAUGAAUAAGCACCUGCUAACUACGUGCCAGAAGCAUCGGUAAUACGUAGGGUGCGAGCGUUAUCCGGAAUUAUUGGGCGUAAAGAGACGCGUAGGCGACUCGGUAAGUCUGAUGUUAAAUCUCAAUGCUCAACAUUGAGACUGCAUUAGAUACUGUCGUGAUUGAGUAAAGUAGAGGAGAGGGGAAUUCCUGGUGGAGCGGUGCAAUGCGUUGAUAUCAGGAGGAACACCAAGGGCGAAGGCAUCUCUCUGGACUUUUACUGACGCUGAGGCUCGAAAGUGUGGGUAGCAAAGCGGAUUAGAUACCCGUGUAGUCCACACUGUAAACUAUCCCUAUUAGACGUUUGGUUGAAAUUGGUUUUUCUCCGCUUGCGGAGGAAGGUUCGAUUUUGACUGAGUGUCACAGCUAACGCAUUAAAUAGGGCGCCUGUGGAGUACGGCCGCAAGGUUAAAACACAAAGGAAUUGACGGGGACCCGCACAAGCAGUGGAGCGCCUGGUUUAAUUCGAUGGGGAGCGAAGAACCUCACCUGGGCUUGAACUGUAGCUGCAUCUUGAAAGAAACGUCAAGAGCCUUCGAGGGUGCUACAGAGGUGGCGCAUGGCUGUCGUCAGCUCGUGUCGUGAGAUGUAGGGUUAAGUCCCGCAACGAGCGCAACCCCUUUCCCAUGUUACAAUUACUUGGGAUACUGCCUUGCCAAAACGAGGAGGAAGGAGGGGACGACGUCCAGUCAUCAUAUCCCUUAUGUCCAGGGCUACACAGACGCUACAAUGGCCACUGGCAAUGGGCAGCCAAACCGCGAGGUGGAGCCAAUCCCAUCAAAAGUGGUCUCAGUUCAGAUUGCA
rnacentral:rRNA from 1 species